GCUUCGAUGGUGUAGUGGUAUCACACUCGUCUCACAUACUGUACUGUGAGCUCCCACGAGAGGCCGCGGGAUCGAAGCCCGCUCGGAGUA
rnacentral:tRNA from 1 species